UGAUGACCUCAUAGGAUAUGAUGCAUUGUCUUCAAUUAAACUACCCAAAGUAAAGUAGCAACAAUUAGUUUCACCCUACAACAUAAAAAAUGCUGCUUACUUGGUAAUGCAUCUGAAAUAAUAAUCCAGCAAUAUAUAUUAAUUUUACUCUCUCAAACUGUUCAUUCUGUAUAAUGAGUAUCUUAUUUCAAUACACUGUGGUAUUAGUAUUUACUCAUAGUAUCAUUGCAACUCCAUAAAGGUGUGAUGCUCUGAUAAUACAGUUUUGUCUCUUGGCACUGUGAGAACAUAACAGUGGAGCUGGUUAGUGAAAAUUCAUCAAAGCCUUAAUUUUUCACUAUCUGCUGGUCCUAUCUUUAACUGAAUGCACGAUAUUGAAAUUAAACUAAUCCCCAUUCUGCUGAGCCCCCCCUGAAACCCUUUUAGACCCCUGGGGGGUCCCUGGACCUACUUUGGCAACUACUGGUAUUUAGGAGAUGUGAUUUUAUUGGCUCAAAGUGGGACACCGGCUGUAAAACAUAACAGCUAUUAAGAGGUUAAAGGAGCCUCAAAGGACAAAAAAAUAUGCAAGUUUCUCCUUCAAGCAGUGCAACAUCACGGGCACCAAUGGAAAUAUGCGUGCAUUUUUUUUUGCAAAUUUAAAGCCAUAGCUACACCCAAUGCACACAAAGGCAAUACAAUUCACCUUGUACCGUUAAUUAAAGACCAUAGUACAAUAAAAUUCCAAAUUGGAAGAGAUAGGUUAAUUGAUAAAUACUUUGAAUGUAAUCAAGCCGAGGAUGCGCGGACAUAAAGUGACGCACAUUGAAUUAUAGGGAUCGAAAGAACACUGGAUUAUGAUUAGGGUGUAAUUCUGAGAAUUACCAAAUGUGUCGCCAGGGGCUCUGGCAAGCCGUGUGUAGAGAGAGGCAAAACAUAUUACCCUAAUCGACUAAUAUGCAAACUACUGGCUGCCCAAUUACAGGACUUAAUAACGCAUAAACGAUGCGAGUCCUGUUCUUACAAGACGAAGGGGUCGCUGUUAAUUCAGUCAAAGGGCUGGGUAUGCUGUCAACACAUGCAGCGGUUCCACACACAUACGGUCUGUGUUUCCGUGUCCCUCGUUCUGUAUUCAGGAGUGAGAGUUAAUGAUGAAGAAUCUGAGCGUUAAAUUAACAGUAAUUAUAUGGCCCCAGUGCUGUAAAGAUUCAAUUUCUUUGCAAGUCUAAUGGGCCUAAGUGUCCCUAUGCGCAGGCGGAACUCUCUAUGAGAUAUUUAUGAUUGAAACGCACAGAGACGGAACAAAAACAAACACACACACACACAUUGUAUACACCUAUAGCAUCUGUUGGCUUUCUACAUGCUGAUUUUAAGAGUGAUUUCUUUCUGGUGUAGAAGCGCGGCACUAAAACCGCAUUCGAGUUAAAGAUUCCAGAUGUGAAAAGCUACUUUUUUUGCUCUUGUGUAAACAGUGCCACCCCCUCUCCCACAUUAGUUGAAGAAAGCGUGGUUCAAGCGUGAAGUGAAGCCAUUUAUGCGAGUGAAUGUUUGCAAGCGAACCAGUAUUCGGGUUGCUUUCACUUUCUCUAGACCAGUGUGUGACCGGCCCAUGUCCCUCCCCCUGUGGGAACCCUAACGCAGGGGUAACUGGGGCAGGGGGCUUCUUUAUGCUGCCGGACACAGGGAGAUAAUGGCCAUUCCUCCACAGCUGGCCUACACAAUCAAAGGGAGAGGGGGCUCGAAGGAUUCCAGCUUUAACCAGGCCAUUGUCUGGGCUAAUUACAUCUGAAUGCAAGACCCCAAGAACUCACCUCCCCCUGAGCAAAACCUGCACAGAAUACCCCAAACAGCCCUUCAGGGAUGAGGGAGAGUGCACAGUCACAAGGCACACACACACAGAAAUAUAGAAACCCUGGACUCCUUCAUUACCCCUAAACGUAAGAACACAAGUAUACACACACACACACACACUCUGGUCUCGUUCAUUACUCUUACACACUCACAUCCCCAGCAGGCUCUCAUCAAAGUGUUGUGUCUCUCGCACAAACACACUCGCAUGUGGCACUCGGCAUUAGAUCAGAUCUCAGCUUGCUGCUCUCAGAAGAGAUGAGGAGGUCUUAGAGGACUUAGGUUGAAUAGAAAACACACUGAAGAGCCUUUCCCCAAUGCACCCCCAUAAUCCCAAUCUAUACACUCCCUCUGCACCCCCCCAACCCAACCGCCAGUGCCCGGCUCCAUCUGUAGCCUGAACUGUGUAGCCUCAGCUCGGUACAGUGCAGUUUGUGUCUGUGAAAACCGCAGAGCGAUGUCAGGGAUAUCCCGUUUUGGUUGCGCCGUCUUUUUGUUUUUGCAGUCAGAAAAUACAUCCAGCUAGUUUUCUCACACUCACUGAUACAUUGAUUUCUUCCGAUAUGAUGCGCACUGCGGUGUGUUUGUUGCUGUGCAUGUUUGAGAGAGAGAGAGAGUUGUGUGAGACAAUCCUAAAGACAUACUAGAGAAGACUCAAAUUGAAUUGUGCUUGGUUACUUUGAAAAUUGCAGUUGCAAACAAUGUUAAGGGGUUAAAAUGUCUUAAAAUGCUAAUUGUUUGCAUCGGAGGUGUUGAACGGGAGUUGCAAUUUAAGUUGCAGCACUCAAAGCGGUUGAAGUGUCAGCUGAAGCUGAAGCACUGAAAGGGGUUGAAGUGGCUAUUGAAAGUGAAAUUGCUGAAAUCUAGCUGUGAAAGCAGUUGAACUGUCAGUGUGAAAGAUGAAAGCGACUGAAAUGUCAUUUAAAAAGUAACGAAUGCAGUUGAAAUUAUUAUAGAAGUUCAAGAGCCAGAAAUAGUUUAAGUGCACUGUGAAUAGCUGUCAGUUGGUAUGUAAGUAGUGAAAGCAGUUGAAAUGUCACUUUGAGUAUUUGAGUCGUUAGGUGAAAAAGUACGAAUUACUUGAAGUGUCAUUUCAUGCGUGGAGGCAGAAAGCGGUUUAAAUUUUGAUUUCAAAUCUAAGCCCUGUAGGCAGUUGAAUUGGGUGUACAUGUAUAUAAGCACCAAAAGCAUGAGCAGUGAAAGCAGUUGAACUGUCAUUUAAAGAGUAAGAGAUGCAAGCAGUUAAAAUGUCAGUUGAAGAUGAAACUCCACUGAUAGUUUAAGUGCCCUGUGAAUAUGAAAACAUUGUCCUUGUUCAUUAAUGCUUUAAAGCAUAUUGAAAUUGAAUAGUUGAAGUGUCAGAUGAUAUGUAAGGAGUAAAAUCAGUUGAAAUGUCAAUUGAAGAGUAAAAAUUAGAUAAAGUGUCAAAUCUAAGCCCUGUAUGCAACUGAAUUGUCAGUGUGUAUGUAAUCACUGAAAGCAUGAGCACUGAAAGCAGUUGAACUGUCAGUUGAAGUUGAAGCGUGAGAUAAUUUAAGUGCCACUGUGAAUAGUUGAAGUGUUAGUUAGUAUGUAAGGAGUAAAAGCAGUUAAAAUGUCAAUCGAAGACGAAAAAUUAGAUGAUGUGUCAGUUGUGUAGAGGCUGGGCGCAGUUAUAAUUCCUGUUAAAGCUGAAUUGGUAGUGAUAGUUGAAGUGUGUGCACUGUAAAUAGAGGAAGUGUCAGUAAGUGCAAUACAUACCCGUGUAGAAACUACCCAACUAACAACUCGCUUUCUCUCACCUCUCUUAGCUUGUGUGUGUGUGUGAGUUAAGGUUGGUAUGGAUGUGUGGACUUACACACCAUUUUCCCUGGACACGUUUCACAUUGUGUGUGUGUGUGUGUGUGUGUGUGCGCGCCUGUGUGCGAGUGUGUGUGUGUGACAGUUUCAGGGUUAGGAGGUCUCACUGGUGCUCAGUUUAGCAUUGAUUUAUUCUCUUUCUCCAAUUUAUUUCCCCUUCGCCUGAUCUGCCUCUGGGAGGACAAAUGGAGGAGAAACGCCAAGCACAGUAACCAUCCCUCACACACACCUACACACACACACACACACA